CCUUGAAGACUUAGGACCUUGGUCAGGCGUACUUGGUUUUUCUUUAGGAUCUUAGGUUGUGAAUUUUGAUUUUUCAAAUAUAUUGGUGAUGUUAUAGGUUGGUAUAGAGGGUGGAAAAUGUAAAGGCUUGGUGUCGGUGGCUCUUGGGAUAACUUGGAUUAGUGAAUUUGGCUCUGCAGCAGAUAUAUUGGUGAUGUAUUGCAAGUUGGUGUAAUGGGUGGGGAAUGUAAUGGCUUGGUUUCAGUGGCUCUUGGGAUAACUUGGAUCACUUCAAAUCUAUAUAGUCCUUCCUUAAGUAGACCUUGAAAGAGUAUCUUCUUGGACAUCUGGCAUUUGAUAUUGCAAAAAUAAUGCCAGAAUUCAAAAAAGACACAGUUGUCUAGUGCAAAUUUAGCGAUACUGACAAGGUUUUUAGAGAUAGUGGGUACAUGUAGUAGGUUUCUUAGUGUGAAAGGUCUGUUGGACAAAAAUGCAUGCAUAAAUGAACUUCCAAUAUGCUCAAUUUU